CGCUGUGGCAGGUGCAACGUAAUCCAUCCUACAUCCAGGUUUGCUGCCUGGCGAGACGAAUGCAAUCCUCAUGGUCAAAUGCUUGUCAGAAUUGUGUCUCUUCAGUUAAGACAUAUCCAACGAUGUGCUCUCUCAGGACUCAUGGCAGGCGGCCGAAUGAUACGCAGGCUAUUUCGGAGGCUGCCAUACAUCUGUCUUCGUCGCCGAUACAAAGUCGUAGUCUGCUGUGCAACCCUCAUUCUCGUGAUGCUGCGCCUUCAUCGCAUGGCAGAGCGAGAGAAACUGCAGAGCGAGGACUGGUCUCACCAGUCGAAUGAGGUUCCCAAAGAAGACAAGAAGGUGGAUAAAUGUACAUCAUUCCACAGCAGAGAGUGUACACCCAUUCCCAUCGAUGUGGUGUACACGUGGGUUAAUGGCACAGACGUGAG